ensembl:lncRNA
CCCCCCCCCCCCCCCCCCCCCCCCCCCCCCCCCCCCCCCCCCCCCCCCCCCCCCCCCCCCCCCCCCCCCCCCCCCCCCCCCCCCCCCAGCCCCGAGCGCCACCGGGGCGGGCCGGGCUCAGAGCCCGUCUGCCGGACACGCUCAGAUGAGUGGACUCAGAACUCGCCAGAGCAGCGGCCAGAGCAGCCCGGGGGCUUGGCUGACCAAGGGAAGAAGCUGGGCUCUGUCACCUUGAGGGUGUGCCCUCAGUAUGAAACGGGACUCUCCAAAGAGACCAGUGUCAAGCUGCACGUCACCGGCCAGACGCCCGCCAGGGAGGUGGUGAAGCUGGUGGUGCUGGAGAUGAACGGCGUCUCGCGGGACGUGCUGGGCUCGGCCGCCGUCCGCUACGGCGAGGAGCAGCUGCAGCACUUCGGGCUGGUGUUCGCUGCCGGCGGGAGCGAGCGCUGGCUCCCCGAUGACUGCUCGCCCCUGUCCCUGCACAGCAGCCAGCCCCAGGGCCGCUUCUACGUCCGCCUCAAGGAGACGUCCCCGCUGGUGCUCCAGUUCGCGCCAGCCACCACCGUGUGAGGAGCGGAGACCUCGGCGGACGGCUCGUCUCUGACGCUUCCUUCUUCCACAGACGCCCUCUCAUCGGCCGUCCGCGGGGUGGGGUGGCAUCAUGUUGGGUUGUGUGUUAUUUGUUCUUGCUAUUUUUUUACCUACAGGUGUCUGUGUGUGGCUGCGUGGACGUAUGAGAUUGGAUGGUCCCACCGAGAUUAAGACAUCAACAAAACCAAGCUUUUUUUCUUUUUUUUCUUUUUUUUUUUUUUUUUAACCAAAGAGACAUCGAGACUCAGUUUUUCUGACUGGAGAAGAGGAGGGUGGAGUCCAGAGACCUCAGAGCUCAGGAGGAAUCUCUGCAGGAAUGGAAUUUUUGAAAGUAAACAUUUUUAAGGAGAAAGAGGGGGGAGAGAGAGAGAGGAAAAAUAUUACAAGAAGAAGCAGCAAUACAUUUUUUUCCCCUUUUUUUUUCUGAAAAGCCUUGUUUGGGAUUCACUGAAGGCAAAACCACAGAGGAUUGCUCGGGAGGGCUGUGGUGUCAGUGAGGAGAGGGCAAGAGCCACAAGGACAACCCUGGGAAGGGUGUGUUUUCCUAUCUGCCCUCCUUUCACUGCACCUGGAGAAAUGAUUCUUGCACACAGUUUGUGGAACAAAAUUAUAUUAGUAUUUUUAUUCUGAAAAAAAGUCAAUAAUCAUUGUGCCAGAGCCACUGGAGUUGGGUAAAGGUGAGGACCUUUUGACUUGUGUCCAAGACUAAAGGAACCCAUGCAGCCAGCUCCCUGCACUCGCAGACGUGUCAAUACCACACUAGAGAUUUGCUAUAGGGCAUCUCCUGCAACCCCCUGGGCUUCCCUGUCCCCCCUGGGUGCCGUUUUGUUCUGGUGAUUGUGCUUCUCUAGUACAUCCUACAGCAUGACAUUUUGUUAGCCACUAGGUCUCCUGUUAACCAGGUUACUUUUCUGAUCUCCUGUGGUCCAUAGUAAAGACGACUGCUGCUGACCGCAUGUCACUUGUCCUUCUUGGGCUUGGUGCACGGCAUUCCAUCAUCCAUCCGUCUCCAAACCAGCCCUGAAUCCGAGGGCCGGGCUCCUCUUUCCCAGGAGUGUUCCGUGGGGUGCUUUCCACGCUGUGCAGCGUUACAUUAACACACAAAUCCCACGUGUGGGAGCCAAGUACAAGUCAAAAAUGCUCUUUGGGAUUCAUUGCUCUGGAAGGCAGCAAGAUAAGCUUGGGCGUGCCAAGGCAUCACCUCCACAGGGUGGUGAAACCCCAGAGCUGGAUGCCUAGGUCU